rnacentral:rRNA from 1 species
GAUCCUGGCUCAGGAUUAACGCUAGCGGCAGGCCUAAUACAUGCAAGUCGAACGGUAACAGGUCCAGCAAUGGAUGCUGACGAGUGGCGCACGGGUGCGUAACACGUAUGCAAUCUACCCUUAACUGGGGGAUAGCCCCGAGAAAUCGGGAUUAAUACCCCAUAAUAUUAUGAUGAAGCAUUUCAUUAUAAUUAAAGCUCCGGCGGUUUUGGAUGAGCAUGCGCGACAUUAGCUAGUUGGUGAGGUAACGGCUCACCAAGGCUUCGAUGUCUAGGGGUUCUGAGAGGAUUCACCCCCACACUGGUACUGAGACACGGACCAGACUCCUACGGGAGGCAGCAGUAAGGAAUAUUGGUCAAUGGACGCAAGUCUGAACCAGCCAUGCCGCGUGAAGGAAGACGGCCCUACGGGUUGUAAACUUCUUUUGUACAGGAAAAAACCACCGGUCGUGAAUCGGUGCUGAUGGUACUGUAAGAAUAAGGAUCGGCUAACUCCGUG